UACGUAGGGUGCAAGCGUUGUCCGGAAUUAUUGGGCGUAAAGAGCUCGUAGGCGGUCAGUCGCGUCUGCUGUGAAAACUCGGGGCUUAACUCCGGGCCUGCAGUGGGUACGGGCUGACUAGAGUGCGGUAGGGGAGACUGGAAUUCCUGGUGUAGCGGUGAAAUGCGCAGAUAUCAGGAGGAACACCGGUGGCGAAGGCGGGUCUCUGGGCCAUUACUGACACUGAGAAGCGAAAGCAUGGGGAGCGAACAGG
rnacentral:rRNA from 1 species